rnacentral:tRNA from 1 species
GGAGGGCUUGUGGCUCAGUGGAAGAGCAUCUGCUUAGCAUGGAGAAAGUCCUGGGUUCAAUCCCAGAUGUCUCCA